UACGUAGGUGGCAAGCGUUGUUCGGAAUUAUUGGGCGUAAAGGGCGCGUAGGCGGCCACCGCAAGUCGACUGUGAAAUCUCCGGGCUUAACUCGGAAAGGUCAGCCGAUACUGCGGGGCUAGAGUGCAGAAGGGGCAACUGGAAUUCCGGGUGUAGCGGUGAAAUGCGUAGAUAUCCGGAGGAACACCGGUGGCGAAGGCGGCUUCCUGGACCGACACUGACGCUGAGGCGCGAAAGCUAGGGGAGCAAACGGG
rnacentral:rRNA from 1 species